rnacentral:rRNA from 1 species
UACGUAGGGGGCAAGCGUUGUCCGGAAUUAUUGGGCGUAAAGGGCGCGUAGGCGGCUUUGCAAGUGACGGGUGAAAGCCCUCGGCUUAACCGAGGAACUGCCUGUCAAACUGCAUGGCUUGAGACCGGGAGAGGUGAGUGGAAUUCCCAGUGUAGCGGUGAAAUGCGUAGAUAAUUGGGAGGAACACCAGUGGCGAAGGCGGCUCACUGGACCGGUACUGGACGCUGAUGCGCGAAAGCGUGGGGAGCAACAGGG